rnacentral:tRNA from 1 species
AGGGCUAUAGCUCAGCGGCAGAGCGCCUCGUUUACACCGAGAAUGUCUACGGUUCGAAUCCGUAUAGCCCUA